rnacentral:rRNA from 1 species
GGGGAAUAUUGGACAAUGGGCGAAAGCCUGAUCCAGCAAUGCCGCGUGUGUGAAGAAGGCCUUAGGGUUGUAAAGCACUUUCAGUGGGGAGGAAGUUGUAGAUGUUAAUACCAUUUGCAAUUGACGUUACCCACAGAAGAAGCACCGGCUAACUCUGUGCCAGCAGCCGCGGUAAUACAGAGGGUGCGAGCGUUAAUCGGAAUUACUGGGCGUAAAGGGUGUGUAGGUGGUUAGGUAAGUUAGAUGUGAAAUCCCCGGGCUUAACCUGGGAACUGCGUUUAAAACUGCUUGGCUAGAGUAUUGCAGAGGAUAGUGGAAUUUCCAGUGUAGCGGUGAAAUGCGUAGAUAUUGGAAGGAACACCAGUGGCGAAGGCGACUAUCUGGGCAAAUACUGACACUGAGACACGAAAGCAUGGGGAGCAAAC